CUACGUGCCAGCAGCCGCGGUAAUACGGAAGGUCCAGGCGUUAUCCGGAUUUAUUGGGUUUAAAGGGAGCGUAGGCCGUGGAUUAAGCGUGUUGUGAAAUGUAGACGCUCAACGUCUGAAUUGCAGCGCGAACUGGUUCACUUGAGUAUGCACAACGUAGGCGGAAUUCGUCGUGUAGCGGUGAAAUGCUUAGAUAUGACGAAGAACUCCGAUUGCGAAGGCAGCUUACGGGAGCACAACUGACGCUGAAGCUCGAAGGUGCGGGUAUCAAACAGGAUUAGAUACCCUGGUAGUCCGCACAGUAAACGAUGGAUGCCCGUUGUUAGUUCACUUAAGAAUUAGCGACCAAGCGAAAGCAUUAAGCAUCCUACCUGGGGAGUACGCCGGCAACGGUAAAACUCAAAGGAAUUGACGGGGGCCCGCACAAGCGGAGGAACAUGUGGUUUAAUUCGAUGAUACGCGAGGAACCUUACCCGGGCUUGAA
rnacentral:rRNA from 1 species